rfam:Homo sapiens chromosome 4, GRCh38 reference primary assembly.
GCUGGGCGCGGUGGCUCACGCCUGUAAUCCCAGCAAUUUGGGAGGCCGAGGCGGGUGGAUUACCGGAGGUCAGGAAUUUGCGACCAACCUGACCAACAUGGUGAAACCCCGUCUCUA